rnacentral:rRNA from 1 species
UACGAAGGGGGCUAGCGUUGCUCGGAAUCACUGGGCGUAAAGCGCACGUAGGCGGAUUGUUAAGUCAGAGGUGAAAUCCUGGAGCUCAACUCCAGAACUGCCUUCGAUACUGGCGAUCUUGAGUCCGGAAGAGGUGAGUGGAACUCCUAGUGUAGAGGUGGAAUUCGUAGAUAUUAGGAAGAACACCAGUGGCGAAGGCGGCUCACUGGUCCGGUACUGACGCUGAGGUGCGAAAGCGUGGGGAGCAAACAGG